GUGUCAGCAGCCGCGGUAAUACAGGGGGGGCAAGCGUUGUUCGGAAUUACUGGGCGUAAAGGGUUCGUAGGUGGCCACUUAAGUCAGACGUGAAAUCCCUCAGCUUAACUGGGGAACUGCGUCUGAUACUGAGUGGCUUGAGUGCAGGAGAGGAAUGCGGAAUUCCAGGUGUAGCGGUGAAAUGCGUAGAUAUCUGGAGGAACACCGGUGGCGAAGGCGGCAUUCUGGACUGUAACUGACACUGAGGAACGAAAGCCAGGGGAGCAAACGGGAUUAGAAACCCUCGUAGUCC
rnacentral:rRNA from 1 species